rnacentral:lncRNA from 1 species
AUGCGGUGCGGCCGCGGGGCAGGGCCGGCCCCAUCCCGGCAGCCGUGCCGCCAAAAAAGGGGGAUAUUUUGGUCGCUUUCUCUUUUGUUUUUGGUAAAAGUGGGGCAUGCACUCACGUCUAGGGCUCUGCCCCGCCUGGGAACGGCACGCUCUCAGCAGAAGAGGAAACCCCAAGAGCGGGAAGCUGCGCUGAGCACCGGGGCUGUCGCCACGGCCGAGAGGGGCACCGAGGGGUGCGGGGGGAUCGGGCAGCCGGGAAGGGCAGCGGAGCCCCGGUCCGGGGUGGCACAGCCCCGGUGGGCGAUGCUGGGCUGGCUGCUGGCGGCGCUGGCGGCGCUGGUGCAGGGCGGCACCCUGGCAGCCCACGUCUCCUGCUGGAUGAAAUGCAGCACCCCCAAGCCUUUCCACUGCUCCUGGCCGCCCCUCGGCCCGGCCGGCAACACCUCCUACAUCCUGAACCUCUGUUUUGAGAAGCGUGGCCUGUGCAGAUGGUUUGAGGCGGGCACGGCGACCAACUACAGCCCCUCACGUAGCCAAGUGUACAUCUUUGAUAACACCACGGCCUGGGUGGAGGCACACUGGGGGGACCAGGUCCACAGGACCCCCAACCACACCCUGCCCCUCAACGAGGCUGUCAAACUGGAUGCACCNNNNNNNNNNNNNNNNNNNNCACUGGGAUGUCCUUCUCCGAGACCGGAGGCCAGCUGA